rnacentral:tRNA from 1 species
GGAGAGGUGCUAGAGUGGUUGAAUAGGCCGGUCUCGAAAACCGGUGUGCCCUUUAUGGGUACCCAGGGUUCGAAUCCCUGCCUCUCCG